UAGUUAUCAACAAAAUGCCAAAACGAAUUAGGUCUUUUUUUUCCCAUCACUUCGUCAGUCCUUCCCCUUCAAAUGGCUAAAGCUCCAGGUCUCUUUCACCUUUGACAUAGGCUCCUCUCCAUUUUCGUACAAGCUUUAAUAACUACUUCAAUUCUCCUCAGUUCUGUCUCUUCGUGGCAGAUUCAGUCAAGAAUAGGCCAAAAGAUUGGUGAUUUUUAAAUUUGUUAUAGAGAAGAAGUUUGAUUCAAAAUUCAACGACUAUUUACUCCUUUGAAUCCCACCCAAAUUUCAAUAAGAGGAACCUAGUUCAUCACCAUAAAUGACAGAUCUUACAUUCAUUUUCAACGAAGCUUUUCUUCCCCUGUAUCAACUUGAAACACUCAUUCCUGCUCUCAAAAAUUUUCUUUUGUACUCUUUCGAUCUCCGCUAAAAACACUAGUUUCGAGGUUACUCAAGUUUGUUUUUGUUCGAACAUAGCCCUUCGACCAAAGCACCUUUUUUCACUUCCUGACAACAGAUUUCGGUCGUUUAAUGCUCAUUCGAGACGACUUGAAGAAGGCUUGGAUAUUCUCUAUCAUCCAAGUAGUGUAGGUGUUGAUGACUAGAGAUGUCUCCUAAGUGGAGAGCUUGGAUAAAUUUCCCAAGUUCAAGUAAAGGAACCAUUGUGAUUCAAGGGUUGCCUAUGUCAAAAAAUGUUCUUUAAGUUUAUGUAAUAGAUCAGACUUAUAUUUUAUGUUGUUAUGAGUCGUGUCCCUAUUCAAUUCAAUUGAGUUGUGUCUUAAGUUGUAAAAUGAAA